CAGCCGCCGCGGUAAUACGGAGGGGGCUAGCGUUGCUCGGAAUGACUGGGCGUAAAGGGCGCGUAGGCGGCGGCCAAAGUCAGGCGUGAAAUUCCCGGGCUCAACCUGGGGGCUGCGUUUGAUACUUGGUUGCUUGAGUGGGGAAGAGGGUCGUGGAAUUCCCAGUGUAGAGGUGAAAUUCGUAGAUAUUGGGAAGAACACCGGUGGCGAAGGCGGCGACCUGGUCCUUGACUGACGCUGAGGCGCGAAAGCGUGGGGAGCAAACAGGAUUAGAUACCCGAGUAGUCCCUGUCUCUUAUAC
rnacentral:rRNA from 1 species